rnacentral:rRNA from 1 species
AGGACGAACGCUGGCGGCGUGCUUAACACAUGCAAGUCGAGCGAAGCCCAUCCUUCGGGAUGGUGACUGAGCGGCGAACGGGUGAGUAACACGUGGGCAACCUACCCUCAGCUCUGGGAUAACCCCGGGAAACCGGAGCUAAUACCGGAUACGACCUUGAACGACAUCGUUCUUGGUGGAAAGUUUUUCGGCUGAGGAUGGGCCCGCGGCCUAUCAGCUUGUUGGUGAGGUAACGGCCCACCAAGGCGACGACGGGUAGCCGGCCUGAGAGGGCGAUCGGCCACACUGGGACUGAGACACGGCCCAGACUCCUACGGGAGGCAGCAGUGGGGAAUAUUGCGCAAUGGGCGAAAGCCUGACGCAGCGACGCCGCGUGAGGGAUGAAGGCCUUCGGGUUGUAAACCUCUUUCAGCAGGGACGAAGCGAAAGUGACGGUACCUGCAGAAGAAGCACCGGCCAACUACGUGCCAGCAGCCGCAGUAA